UCGAAACCUGCCUAGCAGAAUGACCCGUGAACGCGUUGUAUACAACAUCGGAGGUGGUGCGGGUGCAUCGUCGCCUGUUGCCAUCCCCGCGUGUCGGAGCGACCGGUCCUGUCGUCCCUCUUCCCAUUGGGUGGGGUGAGAUGUCAGGAUCAACCUCUUCGAUGCAAAAAGAACAAACCCCCGGCGCGAAUCGCGCCAAGGAAUCGAAAUGAAAAAAGGGACACAUCUCCUGUCGUCGCACCGUUCGCGGUGUCAGUGCUUCAGUGAUGUUGUUCUUUUGUCGCAAAGUAUAU
rnacentral:misc_RNA from 1 species